rnacentral:rRNA from 1 species
UACGUAGGGCGCAAGCGUUGUCCGGAAUUAUUGGGCGUAAAGAGCUCGUAGGCGGUCUGUUACGUCCGCUGUGAAAACCCAGGGCUUAACCCUGAGCCUGCUUCCGAUACGGGCAGACUAGAGGUAUGCAGGGGAGAACGGAAUUCCUGGUGUAGCGGUGGAAUGCGCAGAUAUCAGGAGGAACACCGGUGGCGAAGGCGGUUCUCUGGGCAUUACCUGACGCUGAG